rnacentral:rRNA from 1 species
GUGGAUUAGAUACCCUGGUAGUCCACGCCCUAAACGAUGUCGACUAGCCGUUGGAGACCUCGGUCUUUGGUGGCGCAGCUAACGCGUGAAGUCGACCGCCUGGGGAGUACGGUCGCAAGAUUAAAACUCAAAGGAAUUGACGGGGGCCCGCACAAGCGGUGGAUGAUGUGGAUUAAUUCGAUGCAACGCGAAAAACCUUACCUACCCUUGACAUGCCAGGAAUCUCCCGGAGAUGGGAGAGUGCCCGAAAGGGAACCUGGGCACAGGUGCUGCACGGCCGUCGCCAACU